GCAUGGCCGUCGUCAGUUCGUACUGUGAAGCAUCCUGUUAAGUCAGGCAACGAGCGAGACCCACGCCAACAGUUGCCAGCUCGUCCUCCGGGGAUGGUGGGGACACUGUUGGGACCGCCUCUGCUAAAGAGGAGGAAGGGAAUGGGCAACGGUAGGUCAGCAUGCCCCGAAUUAUCUGGGCUACACGCGGGCUACAAUGGGUGGGACAAUGGGUAUCGACACCGAAAGGUGAAGGCAAUCUCCUAAACCCAUCCGUAGUUCGGAUUGUGGGCUGCAACUCGCCCACAUGAAGCUGGAAUCUGUAGUAAUCGUGUCUCAAAAUGGCACGGUGAAUAUGUCCCUGCUCCUU
rnacentral:rRNA from 1 species